AUGACUGCACGAUACCGAAUUGUGCUCCAGCCCCCAGGCGCUCUCCUCCUUUUCCCCCUCACUCUAUUCCUCUGCUCCGCCACCAGGGGGUGGUGGCGCACCGCCAUUGAACAAAACCCCUCAACCCAGAUCGGAAACCAAUCCGCCGCCAUGUCCUCCUCCAACGACGCCCCCGUCAGCCCUCGCUCCCAGCUCGUGCUGAGCUGCUUCGAGGAGCUCCUCGACUUCGCGGUGGCGGACGUGGCGUCGGAGUGCCACCGCAUCGCGCGCCUAGGCCUCGACCGCAGCGUCGACGCCGAGGAGGAGGAGCUCCGCCUCUGGGCCGCGCGCGUCGCCGGCGACCACCCCGGCGCCGAGGACGGGGCCACCCGCGGGGCCGGGGGAGGAGGGGGGAACAAGGGCGCGCCCGACGUCUUCGGGCAGACGCACCCCGCCAUCGCCGCCGACGUCGUCGACUGCAUGAACUGCGGCCGCCCCGUCGUCGCGGGCCGCUUCGCCCCGCACCUCGAGAAGUGCAUGGGCAAGGGCCGCAAAGCUCGCGCAAAGACCACGAGGAGCAGCACAGCUGGACGGAACAGAAACAGCAACGGGGAGGAGCAUAGCAACCAUACAUUCCAGGAGUCCUGA
rnacentral:rRNA from 1 species